UGGGGGAUAUUGCACAAUGGGCGAAAGCCUGAUGCAGCGACGCCGCGUGGGGGAUGAAGGCCUUCGGGUUGUAAACUUCUUUUGCUCUGAACAAGGCGCACCAUGGGGUGUGUUGAGUGUAGGGGUUGAUUAGCGCCGGCUAACUACGUGCCAGCAGCCGCGGUAAUACGUAGGGCGCGAGCGUUGUCCGGAAUUAUUGGGCGUAAAGGGCUUGUAGGUGGCUGGUUGCGUCUGUCGUGAAAGCUCAUGGCUUAACUGUGGGUUUGCGGUGGGUACGGGCUGGCUUGAGUGCAGUAGGGGAGGCUGGAAUUCCUGGUGCAGCGGUGGAAUGCGCAGAUAUCAGGAGGAAUACCGGUGGCGAAGGCGGGUCUCUGGGCUGUUACUGACACUGAGGAGCGAAAGCAUGGGGAGCGAACAGG
rnacentral:rRNA from 1 species